rnacentral:misc_RNA from 1 species
CCGAGUUAUACAACUCCCAAACCCAUGUGAACUUACCUGUCGUUGCUUCGGCGGACCGCCCCGGUGCUGUUAGGCACCGGACCCACGGCGCCCGCCGGGGGCUCGAAACACUCUUGUUUUCUUUACGCAGAUUUCUGAGUGGCAUUUAUUACAAAUAAAUCA